ACCCAGCUGACGAGUCCUGAAUAGGACUAAAGGCACGUCUUGGAU
rnacentral:hammerhead_ribozyme from 1 species